AAUUUUGGACAAUGGGGGAAACCCUGAUCCAGCCAUCCCGCGUGUAUGAUGAAGGCCUUCGGGUUGUAAAGUACUUUUGGCAGAGAAGAAAAGGUAUCUCCUAAUACGCAAUACUGCUGACGGUAUCUGCAGAAUAAGCACCGGCCAACUACGUGCCAGCCGACGCGGUAAGACGUAGGGGGCAAGCGGUAAUCGGAAUUACUGGGCGUAAAGCGUUGGGAGGGGGGUCGGAAAGGAAGAUGUGAAAUCCCAGGGCUCAACCUUGGAACGGCAUUUUUGACGGCCGAGGUAGGGUAUGUCAGAGGGGGGUAGAAUUCCACGUGUAGCAGUGAAAUGCGUAGAUAUGUGGAGGAAUACCGAUGGCGAAGGCAGCCCCCUGGGAUAAUACUGACGCUCAGACACGAAAGCGUGGGGAGCAAACA
rnacentral:rRNA from 1 species